rnacentral:rRNA from 1 species
UCAGCAGUCAAGAAUAUUAGUCAAUGGGCAAGGCGCCUGAUCCAGCCAGAUAGUAAGAGUGUGAUUAACACUCCACUCAAAAGAAAAAACAAAACAAUGAUAGAAGUUUUCAUUAUAUCCUGACUAAUUUCGUGCCAGCAGUCGCGGCAAUACGUGAAGGAUAAGCGUAAUUCAUCAUCACUAGGUAUCAAGCGUCUGUAGGCGGCGUAUCGAAUGUAAGCUAGAGUCUGACUAGGAAAUUGGAAUUUAAUAAGUAAGGAUAAAAUCUUUUGAUUUAUUAAAGAAUUUUAUGCGAAGGCAUAUUUCUCUGAACGACUGACGCUAAGAGACUAAAGUGUGGGUAGCGAAAAGGAUUAGAUACCCUAUUAGUCCACACCCUCAACGAUGAGUGUUAGUCUUACGGCAUUGAAACACUCCACCUGGGGAGUACUAUCGCAAGAUAGAAACCCAAAAGAAUAGACGGUAUUUAAGACCAGCAGUGAAGCAUGUUAUUUAAUUCGAUAAUCCGC